CUUCACUUAUUCCUAACGCUAUUAACUUUGAUGUCUUUCAGGCUGUCACGUGAUUCAAGAGUAUUAAUGAUAUACAAAAGUUUGCUUUAUGGCAAGUCAGGUAACCACAAAUUUUGGGCAAUGAUAGGGAUGUGCAGUGGUGGUCUCUUAAAAGAAUUUUGUGUUCCAGCGUAGCUAUUUCCACUGCAAACUAUCAAAUCAUUACAAACUACUGGGAACAUGCUCCAUCUUAUUAUCGAAGCCUGUAUCUCGAGAAAGUUGAUCGAUACAUCUGCUUAUUUAUGGCCUGGUUAUGUUGUACCAUCUGGGACUUUAAAAGAUACAACUUUGCCCCAAGAAUCCCCUUGGUUAAACUUUAUGAAAGGGUCUCGACUUUCAGGACCCCUUAUUGAUGCUCUGGUCGCAUCUCCUGCUUCAAGUUCAAGCUCUGCAAGGUGAGGUCUGUUCAGUUUGGCCAGAAAGGCAUCCCCUACCUGAACACCUACGAUGGCCGCACCAUCCGCUACCCCGACCCGUUCAUCAAGGCCAACGACACCAUCAAGAUUGAUCUAGAGACCAACAAGAUCAUGGACUUCUUCAAGUUUGACGUCAGCAACGUGGUCAUGGUGACCGGCGGGAGGAACACCGGGCGUGUAGGAGUGAUCAAGAACUGGGAGAAGCACAAGGGCAGCUUCGAGGUCAUCGACGUGCUGCUUGGAGCUUUUUGCAUGCUAUGUCUAGUUUUUCUCCUAUUUGUUGUACAAGAAAACAUAGAAUGGAAUUCAAAUUUGGUGGUCGCAAAAGUGUGGAGACUUGAAUUCAUAUAAAGUUAGGCUUAACAUUAGUGCAAAAAA